rnacentral:ncRNA from 1 species
AAAAAAGUGAUGAUAGGAAAACCAGUAGGAAUUACCUCCCUGUUCAAGAGAGUCGAUGGUUGCUGUGAAUCGAUACAAAGGUAAUCUGAAUUACAUUCCUAGAGCUUCCUUGUAUUUAUUUAUUAAUACAAAGACGGACGAGCCGUUAUUCGUUGAGUGGAAGACCAUAUUCUUCAAAAAGGGUGGAACCGCGUGGAAAUCACGUCCCUUUA